GGUUUCCAGGAAGUGACGUCAGGCGGCCGCGGAGAUGGAGGAUUUGCUGGACUUGGACGAGGAGCUGCGCUACAGCUUGGCUACCUCCAAGGCCAAGGUGGGUCGCCGAGCUCAACGGGAGUCAGCGCAGGCCGAGAAUCACCUCAAUGGCAAGAAUUCCUCUUUGACUCUGACUGGAGAGACUUCCUCUCCUAAAUUACCUCGCUGCCGAGAGGGAGGCUGGGCAGGUGAUUCCGUGAAGGCUUCGAAGUUUAAGAGGAAGGCUUCUGAAGAAAUAGAAGAUUUUCGCCUCAGACCACAGAGGCAAAAUGGAUCAGAUUAUGGAAGAGAUACUCCUAUCAUUCCGGAUCUGGAGGAAGUACAGGAAGAAGACUUUGUUUUGCAGGUGGCAGCCCCUCCCAGCAUCCAGAUAAAGCGGGUGAUGACCUACCGUGACCUGGACAAUGACCUCAUGAAGUACUCAGCCAUUCAGACGUUGGAUGGGGAGAUCGACCUGAAACUCCUCACCAAAGUGCUGGCGCCAGAGCACGAAGUCCGGGAGGAUGACGUCGGCUGGGACUGGGACCAUCUGUUCACUGAGGUGUCCUCAGAGGUCCUCACUGAGUGGGACCCACUGCAGACGGAGAAGGAGGAUGCUACGGGGCAGGCCAGGCACACCUGAGCCUGUCACCCAUGCUCUAGACAUGAAGAAAUGCAGUGAGCUGAAAGCUAAAGAAGCUUUCCCUUCUUGGAAAAAUGUAUCACAAGUGAAGGAGAACUUUUAAACCAGCUGAUAGGAACUCGAAACUCGGGGCCUUGUUGCGGAGCACGUGGAAGAGUUUGAUUCAGGAGAGGGAGUGGGUACUUCUGCUGAAAGUUGCUCACUUCUCGGAAGGUUGCAAACAGUUGCCCGCUGGGGUUCUGGGGCGGGGCCUCCCUUCCCAUGGGUGCUCUGGGCCCUUUGUUUGUGACCUUAGUGAUGCAGCAUUGCCACCUGCAUCAUAGGCUUCCAGGCAGCUGCUGCAGCAGCAGGAGGAGGCAGCGGGACGGAUAA